rnacentral:lncRNA from 1 species
ACUCCUGAGCCUCCACCAUUGCUGUGAAAACAUGCCUGGGAGAGCCUGCUGGAAGACAGUACCCAGAGCAGCGCCCCAGUCUCUCCAGUUGACUAGCCAGGACCAGCCUAGAUCUUCUGACAACUGGAUGACCUUCAGAUAUGUGAGUGAAACCAGCAGAAUUUGCAAGCUGACCACCACCAGAUGCAUGAGCAAUAAGUAUACUGCUUAUGAGGUCUUGUUUGUUAUACAGCCUCAGCUAUGGCAAUAGAUAGCUGAUACAAUAGCACACAUUUGGAGCUUUGUGGACUGGGAACUCAUUGAUCUUCCAAAGAUUUUCCACAUGGUGGGUCCCUGACACGAUCCUUUACAAGAAAUGAGAAGGAAAAGUUUUCUAAAUAGAGAUUCAGAAGGACAAAACAGGCUCUAGCAUCUACAGUAACCUUUAAGAGACAAGGAGCAAGGGAGAAAAGAGCCUCCAUGGAGACUUCCAGAAUAUGCAGGGCACUAAAAAAACUCCUUUUUCCUUUCUCUUUCUCUCUCUCUUUUAAGUAAAACAAGGUCUCACUGUACUGCCCAGGUUGGUUUCAAAUUCCUGGGCUCAAGUGAUCUUCCGACCUUGGUCUCCCAAAGUGGUAGGAUUAUAGGCGUGAGCCACUGCACCUGGCCUUCUUUUUCCAAUGAAGACAGAAAAGAGAAAUGAAGGGUGACCUAAUAAUUAGAAUGCACUGACUCUCCCCUAACCCUAGGCACUGGUUUGCUGUUUCAUUUUCAAAUAUUUGCCUCCGGAAACAGUCAAAUCACUCAGGCUACAGCCGAAAAAUGCUCCUUUGGUUUAUGGCAACGCCAUUGUUACAGGAAAGGGGUUCCGAUCCAGACCCUAAAAGAGGGUUCUUGGAUCUUGUGCAAGAAAGAAUUCAGGGUGAGCCAUACAAAAAAGUGAAAGCAAGUUUAUUAAGAAAAUAAAGGAAUAAAAUAAUGGCUGCUUUAUAGACAGAACACCCAGAGGGCUGCUGGUUGUCUAUUUUUAUGGUUAUUUUUCCAUCAUAUGCUAAACAAUGAGUGGAUUAUUCAUGCCUCCCCUUUCUAGACUAUAUAGGGUAAGUUCCUGACAUUGCCAUGGCAUCCAUAAACUGUCAUGGCGCUGGUGGAAGUGUAGUAGUGAGGAUGACCAGCGGUCACUCUCAUGACCAUCUUGGUUUUGAUGGGUUUUCAGUGGUUUCUUACUGCAACUUGUUUUAUUACCAAGGUCUUUAUGACCUGUGUCUUGUAUCUCCUGUCUCAUCCCGUAACUUAGAAUCCCUUAACCAUCUGGGAAUGCAGCCCAGUAGGCCUUAGCCUCAUUUUACCCAGCUCCUAUUCAAGAUGGAGUUGCUCUGGUUCACACGCCACAGACACUGAGACAGGUGGCCUUACGAAGAUGGGUAAAGCCUGGAAAAGGAGUUUGCACUCCUUACUCUGAGUGGAGGCACAUGCUUCUUAAGUGCACAAGCUUCUGAAGACACAGCCUCUACUUGCUCCUUGGGGCUUUUUUUUUUCUUUCUUUUUCUGGAGACCGAGUCUGGCUCUGCUGCCCAGGCUGGAGUACAGCAAUCUCAGCUCACUGCAGCCUCCGCCUCCCAGGUUCGAGUGGUUGAAUCCUGCCUCAGCCUCCUGAGUAGCUGAGAUUACAGGCAUGCGCCACCAUGCCCGGCUAAUUUUUGUAUUUUUAGUAGAGACAGGGUUCCACCAUGUUGGUCAGGCUGGUCUUGAACUCCUGACCUCAAGUGAUCUGCCCGCCUUGGCCUUCCAAAGUGCUGGGAUUACAGGUGUGAGCCACCAUGCCUGGCCCCUGGGGCUUUUCUUACUCAGCAGCCCUCUAGGCUGCCUCUUCACAGCGGACACCCAACCUUAGAAUGGGCAAAGUGUGGCCCCUGGCCAGCAGCCUGGGCAUCACCCAGGAGCUCAUCAGACCUGCAGAAUCUCAGAGCCCACCCUCACCUAAUGAAUCUAAACUGACAUUUCACUGGAACCACAGGGAAUUUGUGUGCACAUUAAAGUUCAAGGAGCACAGGUCUUAGGAGAUGUAGAGCUCCUCUGGAAGGGCAUAUCAUUUAUUUGGGGUCCAUCCCCACCUCUAGGUGGUGAGUUCUUGAGGGGAGGAUGAUACCUUGUGAGUCUUUGUAUCCCCAGCACCAAGCACUGCGCCUAAAUGUAAUAGGAGCUCAAAACUAAUUUGCUAAACUGCAGUGAGCUGAUGUAACUGAACAGCCAGACUCGUCAAGCUUACUCCCCUAUCUCGUGGACAGGACUUUCCUCUCCAGGAUUCCUGAGCUGCCUGGAGCAGUGACCACCUUUAAUGCACAAAUUUGUCAAAACAAGGCAAACCCCACCUCCCCGCCCCCCCCCCCCCGCCCCCACACACACAGACCCUGGGCAGCUCUGUGCACUCCAGAGAUUUAGGUUUGAACAUUGUGAUGUAAAGCACAACAUCCAGUGCAUUUGAAUAAGUGAGUUUGGGAUCGGCAUUCUGCAUAUAUUAGAAUGUCAAUGAGGAACUUAAAUUAGGGCCCUACUAAAAAAUUUGCUAGGCCUUCAACAGUGGACUCAGAAAUAGACCAGCAGGCAGGGAGGGAGGAAGAGAGGAAAGGAAGAAGGUUAAAAAACUGGGAGAGUGACAGUCGGGGAGGGGGAGGAAAGAAAAAAUAGGCUAGGGCUUAUGGGACCUAAAUUUUACCUUGUUAUUUUCUAGUGGAACUUGGAAUUUUUCACCCCCUCUCACGGUAUCAUUGACAUUAAAUAUCCAAUCUUCUCUGCCCCACAUCAACUUGAGUAAUAAACCACAGCCAAGGUUGGCUGCAUCUGCUCUCUUCCUCCUUACUCAAUUCAAGUUAAGAAUGCUCACACCAUACACUACUAUUGGGAUUUUUAAAAUGAUUUAUUUUGCUACACAGUUCAGACCUUUGAACCAGGCUGGAUGCUGGGUGCUUUGUUGACACAGUAGUUAGGGAUAAAAGGGGAGUUUGGGGAAUUGCAGAAUUCUGACUUUCUAUAAAUCACUAAUUUUAUUGUAGUAAAUAGAGGUCACCUCCUGGAACUUCAGUCGCCUGCCUUGAAAAAUGGCAUGAAACUAUCAAUGUCCAUCUAAAGGAAAAAAACAGGACAAAGAGAGUGGAAGGGAAAAGUAUUUUCUCAGUUUUAGCCAAGGCUGCAUCAAGAAUAUGGCUAGUAUGCUCAAAGCUAUCUUUAAGAGGUGGCCCAGAAACUUCCCAUUUCUUCUUUGAGCACACUGUCUAUUGCCCCUGCCCUAGACGAGAGGCUAAAGGCAAAGAAUGUGGCAAAGUAGCUGGGGUGUGGGGGACCUUGGACAUUCAGUUCUGUCAUGAGCUUAGAAGGGCUAAGCCAGAAGGGAGACUGAAGAGUGCACUCCAAAACUGUGCCCGAUUCAGCUGAGAGUAAUCAAAACAGAUACCACAUAUGGCAGGAGCUGCAAACACAGGCAAACUCAGGGGCCAUGGAGGGAAGGUAAAUGGCUUGGGAGAGUUGCUAAACUGAGAGACUCUAGCUUGAGUUACUCAACAUCUUUCUAACUCCUUCUUUCUUUUUUGUUCUCCUGUUUUUUCUUUCCUUAUUUUAUUUUAUUUUAUUUUGUUUCAUUUUAUUUUAUUUUAUUUUAUUAUUUUAUUGCGUUCUGGGGCACAUGUGAAGGAUGUGCAGGUUUAUUGCAUAGGUAAACAUGUGCCAUGGUGGUUUGCUGCAACUAUCCACCCAUCACCUAAGUACUAAGCCCAGUAUGCAUUAGCUAUUUUUCCUGAUGCUCUCCCUCCUCCCUCCCUUAUUUCUUUUGUGUGUGUGUGUGUGUGUGUGUGUGUGUGUGUGUGUGUCCAGGUCUCGCUAUGUUUCCUAGGCUGGAGUGCAGUGGUGCGACCUCAGCUCACUGCAACCUCUGCCUCCCAAGCUCAAACGAUCCUUCCACCUCAGCCUCCUGAGUGAGAUUACAGGUGCAUGUCACCAGGCCUGGCUAAUUUUUUAAUUUUUUGUAGAGAAGGGGUUUCACCAUGUUGCCCAGGCUGCCUCACUUCUAACCUGUAAGACAUAAGUGGAAGUCCCUGGAAAGUCUUCCUUUCUUGUAUAAAAAAGCAAAGUCUUGCUAGGAGAGAUUUUGUCCUUUGCUCCUUUGCCAUUCCCUCCUCCUUUUCCUGCCUGAAACACAGAUGCCAUAGCUUGCUGUGCAGGAGCCAUCUUGAGAUCAUGAGGACCAAACACUUCAUGCUUAAAGACAGCAGAGCAGCAAGGCUGAGGAGCCUAGGUCCCUGCUGGCAUUGCUCAGCCUCACUGCCAGCCCUGGACAUCUAGCUGCAAGAAGAAAAUUAACCCCUUACUUAUUUAAGCCCCUGUGGUCAGGUUUUCUACUCUACACACAGUGAUAUGCUACCCCCGGCUCUAUCCAUUGUUGCUGUAUAGGAAUGCUGGCUCGGUGUCACAAGAUUUUCUGAUUUUUCAAGAGAAGAUAUAAAUCUGGAUUUUUUAAAAUACAGAAUUUCCCAGUUGGCAGUUGGUAAUUGAUCCCAAUAGAGACAAUUAAUUGAAUUUUUUGAAGACACACUUCCAAUUUGUGAUCUCUGAUUUAUAGAAUCUUUACUCUGGGCCAGAGGCUAUGCUAAGCAUUUUAUAUAGAUGAUCACAUUUAAUCCUGACAACAGUGCUGAAAGUCAUGCUAUUAUUACUUUUUUAUAUAUAGUUUAAGAAACUGAGGCUCAAAAGUUUAGCUAACUUGCCCAAAGCUGUGUAGCUAUAGAGAAAGAGCCAUUAUUACAGCUCAUGCCUGACUUUGGACCAGGCAUUGCUAAUAAUGUGAAUAAUAUGGAGUCAAUCCUCUAUUGCCACAUAAUGCUGCUUGACAAUCCACGUAGAAACUCAGUGGCUUACAACCAGAAUUUACUCUCAUGCUUAUGGUUCUGUAGGAUGACUGUGGUAUGGGUGAUCCCAGUUGGGCUCAGUUGCAUGCCUCUGCUUCAAGCUGUGAUUCCCGUGGGAUAGGGUCUAGGCUGGGAGUUGGGUUCAAGUCCACUCCAUGUGUUUUCACUCUGAAAGGGCAGUAGCUGUGCAGGGUAUGCUCUUCCCUUGGGAGAAUACCAGAAUGUAAGAACCAAGCCCUCAUCGGUGAGUGCAUUUAAGGUCUCUAGUCAUAUUGUGUCUGCUAGCAUUCCAUUGGUCAAAAGAAGCUAUGAUGCUGAGCCCAACAUCUGUGGAGCAGGGAGAUAUACUUGGCCCACAGAAGGAGGGAGCAUGAGCAUUGCUCAACAGUGAUCCAAACAAUCACAACUAUUCUACACAGCCUCAGGAAAAGCUGGCUUUCAUUCCGAUGAAACAAAGACUCCUUUUUUCCCCACUGCCUGUUUGCAAAAAUGGCAGAUGCUGCAAGGACCUGGUAAGUGGGGCACAAAGCCAUGCAAAUCCAUCUGAAGUCAGUUCAUUUCAGAGAUACCACCAGCUUCUGAUGGUGUUACACCCUGGAAAUGGCAGUCCAGCUCUAGCUUCUGGAAGGCAACUGGCAAGAGGUAAGGAAGAGAUGGUGGGAAGGUAGCCCCUCUCCUUGUUGGGGAGGAGCUUUCAUCUUAUUCCAGUUCUCAGCAGUAGAAGCUAUGCCUGGAGACUUCCAGGUGUCUCCUGUCCUGGUUCCUGCCUUGUUCUUUCUCUUUUCCCUCAUCCUCAUUUAUGUUUUCACUCCUCCUUCUCCAAUAUUCCAGAAUAUUCAUUCAUCCAUUCAAUGAAUAGGCAUUUAUUGACCACCUCCUUUGUGCCAAUUGCUGUUCUUGAUGCUGUGGUAACAGCAAGAACAGGACUGAACCCAUCCCAAUUUCCAUCUGAGCUACUUCUAGUAGAGGCUGGCAAAUAACAAACAAGUAAAUAAAAUGAAAAGCAUAAUUUGGGAGAGUGAGAAGUGCUCCCAAGGGCAGACAGAAUGGAGAGGGGAGCAAAGAAAGGGAAGGAGGGUGGAGGAGAAAGGGCCCAGCCUCUUAGUGCCUGACUAGCCCUUUGCUGUGAAGGCUCACCUUUCACGCUUGGCUUCUCCCUGAAGCUGGGAGCUACUUCAGGCAGGAGCCAUAUUUGAUUCAGCUGUGUCCAAGGUCAGACGCAAAGCUUCCCCAAACGCUGUUGGGCAGCAGAUUAUACCACAGUGUCUUGAAAUACCUGCAUGGUGUCUAUGUGAGCAAGACCUGCUGCCUCCAAGUGUCCUGUCGGUUGUGUUAAUCACGUGCAUGGGAGGUGAGGGGUGGUAUGUACUUGGAGGGGGAGCCCAUAGCGAAGGGCAGGGGAGAGAGCCACCAACAGCUUCUCCACUCCUUUUAUGGGAUAAACUGGGUGGUCCCUCCAUGUACACAGGCUUCAUGCAGAGCUCUGGAUAUGCUGCAUUAGACCACCUUGUGCCUCAGUUUACUGGAGGGAUAUAACUAACCUCAUCAGGUUCCCUAGAGCAGAGAUUCUCAACAGGGUAAGAAGUGAUUUUGCCCUGCCAUACCCAUAUCAGGGGACAUUUGGCAAUGUCUGGAAACAUUUUUGAUGAUCACAACUCGGGAGGGAGUACACUGGCAUUUAGUGGGCAGAGGCCAGGGAUGCUGCCAAACAUGCCACAAUGCACAAGGCAGAAUUAUCUGGCUCACAAUGUCAGUAGUGCCCGGGUGCCCUGGAGCCAUGCUUGUUAGCCACCCACCCCUCGUGCAUCUGUGCAGGGGCUCAAUUUAAUUUCUCUAUAUUAUUUUAUUUACUUUGAGAAUGGGUGAUAUAUGCACAUCACAACAUUCCAAAAGAACAAUAGAGGUCAUAGUGAAAAUGCCUCUCUUUCAGUCUUAUUAAUAGCUCUCCUUCCUCUUCCCCACCCCUACUACCUUGUGCAUCUCCUUCCAAACAUACUCUGCCUGUUAGUGCCCCACCUAAUAUCUUAUCGUCUCUCACCUCAACACACCAAAGGCUGCUUUUUGUGACUAUCCAAAUUUUUCUGCCUGGGGGCUUUUUGUUCUGGCCCUGGGAGCACCUUUGGCAAACUGGAAUUGCCCAAGAGUUAAUGCUCCUGGAAGUAGCCCACAACCAAAGACAGGUGGAAAGUUGGUGGAUAAAUACCUCAGCUUAUCUUAGGUGAGAUAACUCUGAAGGGAGUUCUACACUGUUGGCUUGUUUCACCCUGCAGGAUUGCCGUCCAGUUGCUCUCAGUGGUAACGUUCUUGAUAUUUUCCCUUAAUUGACUACCUUUUCUUCCUUGCCUUACUUCUCCACUCUCCUAUCGGAAUUUCCUGGGAUUGCAAGCGAACAUCUCAGAGUGUGAUUCUGGAGGAACCCAAACUAAGAGAGGGCUAUCUAUAUCUAUCUAUAUCUAGAUCUAGAUCUAUAUCUAUCUAUAUCUAGAUCUAGAUCUAUAUCUAUCUAUCUAUAUAUACAUACCUAUGUAUACAUACAUAGGUAUACAUGUAUAUAUACACACACAUAUAUUCAUAUGUGUAUAUGUGUAUGUGUAGUAUAUAUGUGUAUAUAUAGAUACAGUUUUUACACAAGUGAUAACGUUCUACAUCUUGCUUUUUCACUUAAUUAUAUAUCUUGGUGGUGUUCCUUAUCAGUAUAGUGAGCUACUAAUAUCUUAUUAUUUCUUGCAACAUUCUAUUUCAUUAUAUAGAUAUCCCAUAACUUAUGGGCAUCUAGAUAGAUUUUCAUCUGUGUUUAUCAGUGCCCUUGAAACAGUGCCCUUGAAACAGUUUAUCAGUGCUCUUAUACAUUUGAUAUAAUUUCUUCCAGAGUCAUGAGAUAUGCAUGUUUAAAAUUUUGAUAGACAUUGCCAAUUCUUUAUAAAGCCUACACCAAUUUAUAGCUUCUCACCAGCAACAUAUGAGUUGAAACUUGGUGCUGAAAAGAUGAAGCCAAAUGUUUAGGUUGCCUUUUGUCCCUGCUUUGGUCUCUGCUCAAAGCAUGUCCUCUCUUCUGUACCUUGGAAGUGGACAUGAGCAUGGAACUCCCAGGCUGUGGAAUACCAGGUGAAUGAGUGCAGCCAGGAGGCACCCGGUGGUGUUCCUGAAGGUGUGGACACACAUACACACAGCAAACCCACUUGCUCUCCAGAUAGUUGGAAUCCUUGUUGGUUAAACGUUAUGGAGGAACAAAGUGGUGAACACCUCAAAGAUGAAGUUUCCAAAUCAGAUUCAAUAGUGAGAUAUUGAAGGGAUAUAUGCACUUCCCUUGAUAGGCCCCUUGCAAUUGAGUAGGGGCAAAUAUUAAUACAUUCUGAGUGCUCACUGUGUGCCUGGCUGAGAGCCAAAUGCAUUCCUUGCAUCUUCUUAUCAUCUCAUAGCAACCCUAUAUUGAAGAUGAUGUUCUUAUUCCUGUCUUUUAAUGAGGUUACUGGAUGAUAAAUAUAUUAAUUGACCACUUAGCAGAUGGAAACUAUUGAAAGCCUAACCCAAACUGCCAGGGUUAAAAUCCUGGCUGUUUCUCUUAUGAGUUGGGUAACCUUAGGCAAGAUGCCCUUCUUCUCUUUGGUGCUUCUAUUUUCUCCUCUGUAAAAUGGAGACAUUGCUAUGAAGGUGAAAUAAGUUAAUAGAUAGAAAAUGCUCAGAAAAAAUGGGCUAUCUAAUCAUUGUCUAUAUGACUCUUGAAACUGGAAUUUAUUCACUGUAUUUUACAGUAUCCCAGCAGUCCAGUUCAUUUUUUUAAUUUAUUUUAUUAUUUAUUUAUUUAUUUAUUUUGAGAGUGUCUCGCUCUGUCACCCAUGCUGGAGUACAGUGGCCCAAUCUCGGCUCACUGUAACCUCUGCCUCCCGGGUUCAAGCGAUUCUCGUGCCUCAGCUUCCUGAGUAGCUGGGAUUACAGAUGUGCACCACCACACCUGGCUAAUUUUUGUAUUUUUAGUAGACACGGGGUUUCGCCAUGUUGGCCAGGCUGGUCUUGAACUCCUGACCUCAGGUGAUCCACCUGCCUCGGCCUCCCAAAGUGCUGGGAUUACAGGCAUGAGCCACCAUGCCCGGCCCUGGCCAGUUCAUUUUUAAAAACUGAAAUUUUAAGAGUUUAAGAAAAUAAAUGAAAGAGAUACAAGUUUUAUUUCAGAAUUCUCAAAGCGUACUGAGGAUUGUUGCUGGAACCACGCUUAUGCCUCCGCUGUACGGCUGGCUGGGGGCUCCUGGGGUGGGAGCCGAUUACACCACCGUGAGCAGCAGUGAUAGAAGCACAAGUCGGCACCGACUGUUAGGCUCAUCUGCAGAAAUCCAGGCUCUCUGCAUUCUGGAAUAAUUUGAUCCACACCAUCUGGCAGCUUGAAAGAAGAAGAAAAAGAUGAAGAGGGAGAAGAAACAACAGCCAUGUAGCAUGAAUGUAAUUCCUAAUCUAAGUUAUGCACUCCCAUUUGCUUCAUGUAAUAUGAGCCAAAUUUAAACAUGUCAACAUCUCAACAAUUGCUGAUUUUUCAAGUGCUAUACGAUGCAUCUGGCGGGCACUCAUUGAAUGUUCUUCAAUGAUGUGACAUAAAUCUAUUUACUAAAAUAGAGUGUAUUGAAAAAGUAAAUAGUAUAUUGUAAUGUUCUUGAGUUGGCGUUUGCAUAAAUUGGGACUCUCUGAAAUAUGUGGGUUUGAGAUUUAAAAGCACAUGACUAUGUUUUUAAAUGUUCAAAGCAUCAUAAUUGUAGCGCUUACAAACCAUUGAGUCUAUUUCUCUCAUUUUAAGCAUAAGAAAACAGCCGAAGAUUAGAUUUUGAUAAUGAGAGAGCCCAACGAUCCUGGACCCCUGGCCGGGAGGACAAUAGGGGAAACAGGUGAAACACUGUGUGAGCUGGACCACCCAGGCUCUCCAACACCAGGACACCAGAGCAUCCUUCCUCCUUCUUCUCUUCUGCUGCGACUUCCUGGAGGCAUAGCAGAGUUACAACUGCUGGCCAUGUGGAACUUCUCUUCUCCUAUAAGUUUGCUCUGAGAUGGAGAGAUUGUGCCUGUGGUUCAUUAGGAAGAGCUCUUGGGAUCAAUGCCUGUAAUAAGGAAGGGAAGGAAUCAGGAUUGGCCAGAAGGAGAAGUUGAGCUGUGUUGAAGCCUCAAUGGAGACCUCAGCCAAUUCUGAGUCAUGUCCUGAAGCUAGAAUAUGUCCUCUAAAUUAUCCCAAGCUGAGAUGAGGGAGCUGGGCAUUUAGCCCUGUAUUAGGCCAUUCUUGCACUGCUAUAAAGAAAUAACUAUGGCCUGGCGCCGUGGCUCACGUCCUUAAUCCUAGCACUUUGGGAGGCCGAGGCGAGCAGAUCACGAGGUCAGAGUUUGACACCAGCCUGGCCAAUAUGGUGAAACCCCAAUUCUACUAAAAAUACGAAAAUUAGCCAGGCGUGGUGGCACAUGUCUGUAAUCUCAGCUACUCGGGAGGCUGAGGCAGGAGAAUUGCUUGAACCCAGGAAGUGGAGGUUGCAGUGAGCUGAGAUUGUGCCUCUGCACUCCAGCCUAGGGAAUAAAGCGAAAGUCUGUCAAAAAAAAAAAAAAAAAGGAAAGAAGGAAAUAACUGAGACUGGUAAUUUAUAAAGAAGAGGUUUAAUUGGCUCACAGUUCCUCAUGCUAUACAAAAAGCAUGAUGCUGGCAUCUGCUCAGCUUCUUGGGAGGCCUCAGGAAAUGUACAAUCAUGGCAGAAGGUGACGCGGGAGCAGGCAGUUCACAGGGCCGGUGCAGGAGGAGAGAGAGAGGCAGGAGAUGCUACACGCCUUUAAACAACCAGAUCUCCUGAUAACUCACUCUCGUCACAACACCACCAAGGGAGAUGGUGUUAAACCAUGAGAAACCACCUCCACGAUCCAAUCACCUCCCACCAGGCCUCACCUCCAACACUGGGGAUUUAUAAUUCCACGUGAGAUUUGGGUAGAGGACACAGAUCCAAAAUAUAUCAUACCCCCACGUUGAUCAGUCAUUAGAUGUGGGCCACCCUAGUUGAGGCAGCUCCCCUCGCUCAGGUGGUUCCUGAAGCGAGCUGACAGCUGACGGCUGCAUGCCAGAGGUACUGUCAGCAGCUGAAGGAGAGUCUUUUGUGCUAAAAGCCAUCUUAAGCAGCACAGCACAGCGUCCACCACAUAUUGUGGACAGGUGAUAUGGUUUAGAUCUGUAUCCCCACCACAAUUUCAUGCUGAAUUGUAGUCCCCAAUGUUGGAGGUAAGCCCUGGUGGGAGGUGUUCGGGUCGUGGGAGCAGAUCCCUCAUGAAUGGCUUGGGCCAUCCUCUUGGUGAUGAGGGAACACUCACUCUGAGUGUUCACAAGAUCUGGUGGUUUAAACGUGUAUGGCACCUCUCCCCACCCCCACUCUUUCUUGUUCCUGCUUUUGCCAUGGGACUCGCAUGAUCCCUUUGCCUUCUGCCAGGACUAAAAGCUCCCUGGAGCCUCCUCAGAAGCUGAGCGAUGUUGGCGCCAUGCUUCUGGUACAGCCUGCAGAACCAUGAGCCAAUUCAACCUCCUUUCUUUAUAAAUUACCCAGUCUCAGGUAUUUCUUUAUGGCAAUACAAGAACACCAGGGGUUUGCAGGUAACCCGGGCCCCUGUCCUUGAGGACACAGCAGCAAGCCAUUGGUAAAGCAAAACUGUCCAUAAGGAAGGCUGCUCCCAUGCAGUGUUCAUUUGGGCAGCCCAGAAAUCGAGAAAUCCUCGGUCCAUUUCAAGUUUGGGGGAAAACUUAUUUUUAUCAUAUUUGAGAUGAAUAAUAAAAGCAAAUCCAGAAGUCGGAUGGCAUCUUUUAUUGGACUUAGACCUGGUGUUGUUGAAUGGGAUUAGAUCUGUGGGAUGAAGAAUGAAUCCUGAUUCACAGCCACUGCCCUAUACUGGACUUAUGGAGUCCACCCCUGACACACUGUGGCCUCGGGUGCUGAGACUUCCACAGGGUUUUGGAACUGCCCAGAUACAUGUGUGCCAAUUGGAGCCUGGGGUCUGUAUGUCUGUCUUCCAGAACUAAAGAUCUCUCAGAUCCAAAACUGGCUACAUAUUCUGGAGCAUGGAACUUUAAUUUCCUCUUUUAUUUGUUCAUUUGUUCAUCUAUGCAUUUGACAGGUAUUUACUGAAACUAGAUUGCAACUCAACCAGAUGUAGUGGGAGAGGCAGAUAAUUGAAAAAGGAAGUACAAUGGUGUGGGAAAAGUAUUAGGAAAGAGGAAGUGCAGGGUUGUAUGGGAGCUCGAGGAGGAACGGAGAAAGUCUCCCAGGAAAUAAGGGC